CCCCCCCCCCCCCCCCACACACACACACACACAAACAAAGAGGCGUUAGGCUGAGACGCUGAAAGUCCGGAUUUAAAGUGCAGAAAAUGAAGCCAUUGAAUCUGCCUGUCCAUGACGUACAAAGACACACUAUGAGCCAGUAUGAUCCGACCAGACCUUACAUCAGCAUUGAGGAGUUGUCGGAGAAGAAAGAGGCUGAUUGAAGCGGGACAGAUGACAUGGAUCCAUCCUUCCACAGCCAGGAGUGCACCGACCUGUGUCCCACACUUCAUAUAAGACUGGAAGCUACACUGAUCUCACAGCUACACACCACAGACGUCUACACACUGGAGAAGAGUCCCACAAAGAAGUCAUGACCCAGAGGCUGCAGAGAAACAUUUCAAGCCUCAUCUGAGUUUUUGUACAAUAUUUUUGCUGUAUGUAAAUAAAGCUUUCACUCCACAUA